GACGAACGCUGGCGGCGUGCCUAAUACAUGCAAGUUGAGCGAUGAAGAUUGGUGCUUGCACCAAUUUGAAGAGCAGCGAACGGGUGAGUGACGCGUGGGGAAUCUGCCUUUGAGCGGGGGACAACAUUUGGAAACGAAUGCUAAUACCGCAUAACAACUUUAAACAUAAGUUUUAAGUUUGAAAGAUGCAAUUGCAUCACUCAAAGAUGAUCCCGCGUUGUAUUAGCUAGUUGGUGAGGUAAAGGCUCACCAAGGCGAUGAUACAUAGCCGACCUGAGAGGGUGAUCGGCCACAUUGGGACUGAGACACGGCCCAAACUCCUACGGGAGGCAGCAGUAGGGAAUCUUCGGCAAUGGACGAAAGUCUGACCGAGCAACGCCGCGUGAGUGAAGAAGGUUUUUGGAUCGUAAAACUCUGUUGGUAGAGAAGAACGUUGGUGAGAGUGGAAAGCUCAUCAAGUGACGGUAACUACCCAGAAAGGGACGGCUAACUACGUG
rnacentral:rRNA from 1 species